rnacentral:rRNA from 1 species
UUUUUGUCUUUUAAAAAAAAUUUUAAAAUGUUUCGUAGGUGACCUGCGGAAGGAUCAUUAACGAGCGAGGGCCCCGCGCCCGAACCUCCAACCCUUGCUUUAUCUAACCUCUUUGCCUUUGGCGGUUCGCCGGCCCUCGGACCGGCCCGCCAGGGAUCCCCGUCAUAAACGCUAUAACGAUGGGCUCUGAGCAUGGGCUAACGAAUAAAACUUUUCUAACAACCGGAUUCUCUUGGCUCUGGCGUCGAUGAAGAACGCAGCGAAAUGCGAUAAGUAGUACGAAUUGCAGAAUUCAGCGAAUGAUCGAAUCUUUGAACGCACAUUGCGCCCUCUGGUAGUCCGGGGGGCACGCCUGUUCGAGCGUCAUCUCCACCCUCAAGCCUGGCUUGGUCUUGGGCCGCGCCCCCCCUCUAGCAAGGGGGGCGGGCCCCAAACUCCUGGGCGGCAUCGCCCUCCCGUUCGGCGUGACAGGGAGACCCUCCACGCGCCGGCGGAGAGCGGUGCCUGCCAUCCAUCGACCGUAAGGUCCCUCGGUCUGACCUCGGAUCAGGCGGGAAUACCCGCUGAACUUAAGCAUAUCAAUAAGCGGAGGAAAAGAAACCAACAGGGAUUGCCUCAGUAACGGCGAGUGAAGCGGCAACAGCCCAAAUUUGAAAUCUGACCCCCUCGGGGGUUCGAGUUGUAAUUUGGAGAGGAUGCCUCGGCGGGGUCGCCAGUCGAAGUCCCUUGGAACGGGGCGUCACAGAGGGUGAGAAUCCCGUCCGUGGCCGGCGGCCUCCGCCGUGCGAGGCUCCCUCGACGAGUCGAGUUGUUUGGGAAUGCAGCUCUAAGCGGGAGGUAAAUUCCUUCUAAGGGCUAAACAUCCGCCAGAGACCGAUAGCGCACAAGUAGAGUGAUCGAAAGGUGAAAAGCACUUUGAAAAGAGGGUGACACAGCACGUGAAAAUUGUUGAAAGGGAAGCGCUUGCAGCCAGAAGCGGGCCCCGGGGGCUCCGUCCGUCCUCGGACGGGCGCUCUCCCCUGGGGUCCGGCCAGCAUGCGGCUCGGCCGGCCGGAUAAAGGACCAUGAGAAUGUGGCACCUCCCGGGUAGCUUAUAGUCCCGUGGCAGCAAUGCGGCCUGUCCGGGGCCGAGGUCAUGCUCCCAUAGCUCGGAUCUGGGGUAUGCUUUACGGCCCUCUUUAAAAAGGAAAAA